AACGAACGCUGGCGGCAUGCCUAACACAUGCAAGUCGAACGAGACCUUCGGGUCUAGUGGCGCACGGGUGCGUAACGCGUGGGAACCUGCCCUUAAGUUCGGAAUAACUCCCCGAAAGGGGGGCUAAUACCGGAUAAUGUCUUCGGACCAAAGAUUUAUCGCCUUUGGAGGGGCCCGCGUUGGGUUAGCUAGUUGGUAGGGUAAAAGCCUACCAAGGGGACGAUCCAUAGCUGGUCUGAGAGGAUGAUCAGCCACACUGGGACGGAGACACGGCCCAGACUCCUACGGGAGGCAGCAGUGGGGAAUAUUGGACAGUGGGCGAAAGCCUGAUCCAGCAAUGCCGCGUGAGUGAUGAAGGCGUUAGGGUUGUAAAGCUCUUUUACCCGGGAUGAUAAUGACAGUACCGGGAGAAUAAGCGCCGGCUAACUCCGUG
rnacentral:rRNA from 1 species